rnacentral:rRNA from 1 species
CCCUCGGGGGUAGAGCACUGGAUCGGGACGGGGGGCGCGAGCCUUACCAACUCGAACCAAACUCCGAAUACCGAGGAGUACUAUCCAGCAGACAGACCACGGGUGCUAAGGUCCGUGGUCAAGAGGGAAACAGCCCAGACCGCCAGCUAAGGUCCCCAAGUCAUGGCUAAGUGGGAAAGGAUGUGGGACGGCCAAAACAACCAGGAGGUUGGCUUAGAAGCAGCCAUCCUUUAAAGAAAGCGUAACAGCUCACUGGUCUAAUUAAGCUGUCCUGCGCCGAAGAUGUACCGGGGCUAAAGCCAUGCACCGAAGCUGCGGAUGCACUCAUACGUGAGUGCGUGGUAGCGGAGCGUUCUGUAGGCCUGUGAAGGUGUGCCGUGAGGCAUGCUGGAGGUAUCAGAAGUGAGAAUGCUGACAUGAGUAGCGACAAACAGUGUGAGAAACACUGUCGCCGAAAGUCCAAGGGUUCCUGCGCAAGGCUAAUCCGCGCAGGGUAAGCCGGCCCCUAAGGCGAGGCCGAAAGGCGUAGUCGAUGGGAACCACGUUAAUAUUCGUGGGCCAGGUGGAGGUGACGCCCUCUGUAAGUUGUCCAUCCUUAUCGGAUUGGUUUGGGCAGCGAAAGAGGGCCAGGAAAUAACCCCACCAUGAGACCGUACCCGAAACCGACACAGGUGGACUGGUAGAGUAUACCAAGGCGCUUGAGAGAACGAUGUUGAAGGAACUAGGCAAAUUACCCUCGUAACUUCGGGAGAAGAGGGCCUCAUCCUUGGGCAACCAGGGGUGAGGGGCACAGACCAGGGGGUGGCGACUGUUUACUAAAAACACAGGGCUCUGCGAAGUCGCAAGACGACGUAUAGGGUCUGACGCCUGCCCGGUGCCGGAAGGUUAAGAGGAGGGGUGCAAGCUCUGAAUCGAAGCCCCGGUAAACGGCGGCCGUAACUAUAACGGUCCUAAGGUAGCGAAAUUCCUUGUCGGGUAAGUUCCGACCUGCACGAAUGGCGUAACGACUUCCCCACUGUCUCCAACAUCGACUCAGCGAAAUUGAACUCUCCGUGAAGAUGCGGAGUUCCCGCGGUCAGACGGAAAGACCCCGUGCACCUUUACUACAGCUUCGCAGUGGCAUCAGGCAUUAGAUGUGUAGGAUAGGCGGGAGGCUAUGAACCCAGGGCGCCAGCUCUGGUGGAGCCACCCUUGAAAUACCGCCCUUCCGAUGUUUGCUGUCUAACCGCGUCCCGUCAUCCGGGACCGGGACCCUGCGUGGCGGGUAGUUUGACUGGGGCGGUCGCCUCCCAAAGAGUAACGGAGGCGCGCGAUGGUUGGCUCAGAGCGGUCGGAAAUCGCUCGACGAG